GGCCCCGUCGUCCAGUGGUCCAGGAUGCCUCCCUUUCAAGGAGGUGACGCCGGUUCGAACCCGGUCGGGGCUA
rnacentral:tRNA from 1 species